UACGGAGGGAGCUAGCGUUGUUCGGAAUUACUGGGCGUAAAGCGCGCGUAGGCGGCUUUGUAAGUUAGAGGUGAAAGCCCGGGGCUCAACCCCGGAAUUGCCUUUAAGACUGCAUCGCUUGAAUCCGGGAGAGGUGAGUGGAAUUCCGAGUGUAGAGGUGAAAUUCGUAGAUAUUCGGAAGAACACCAGUGGCGAAGGCGGCUCACUGGACCGGCAUGACGCGUGAGGUGCGAAAGCGUGGGGAGCAAACAGG
rnacentral:rRNA from 1 species